AGAUUUUAAAUUAUUUCCCAAAAGAAAGAAAACAUGAGCACACAGCCACACACUUUACAAAUCUCAUUGGAGCUGAAAUAUAAAAUAUGAGAAACUUUUAACAAAACUAGCUAAUUAAGCUUAAUAACUUGAGAUAUGGGCAAUGAAAGAAUCUAUCUCCAUGCGAGAAGCUCCACCUUCAGCCAUUGAUCGCCGGACAGACUCACCCAGUUCUGCUGCUCUCUUUUUCAUUCCAUCUCCUUCGUCUGAAGCCAUUAGACUCUUUACAGAGCUUUCAACCAUCUUUGCUGUGACAAUCUCAUCUCUGCGCGCCCAUUCCUUAACAGUAACACCAAUCUUGAGCAACUCUGUUAUCAGGAAUGCGUUUCUUGGUUGAUCUGAAUGCAUUGGCCAAGCUGUAAUUGGAACUCCCAUAGUGAUGCUUUCCAUGCAAGAAUUCCACCCACAAUGACUCAUAAAACCUCCUGUUGCUGGGUGGGCUAAAAUCUCCAGUUGGGGUACCCAAUCUCUCACCACCAAUCCCAUGCCAUCCACUGAAUUCUCAUACCCUUUUGGGAGCUCACCUCUUCUUUCAUGAUCUCCAUUGAAAACAUCUCCUUUAUCAGCAUCCCUCAGUACCCAAAUGAAUUUUUGGUUGCUUUGUUUCAACCCAAUUGCUAGCUGCUUGAUUUGUUCAUUGUUCAUGGCCGUUGUAGUCCCAAAAGACACGUAAAUUACCGAGUUUCUUGCUUGUUUAUCUAGCCAUGCCAAACAAAUAUGUUUCCCAUUUGACCCUCUAGUCUUUGCAGGCACAGUCAAUGGAUUAAAAGGCCCUAAAGCCCAAUGCUUCUUGGUCCUUUCCUCCAUUGUUCCUUUCUGUUGUUUCUCGAUCAAGUCCAUGAAAGCACCUUCUAUCAAUCUGCAUGUAUUGUACACGUACCCCGAGUUGAACGUAUGGUACUGAUACUCAGAAGCAAGCAAAUCCAAAAACUCAUCGGUGAAGCAUCCUUCAAGACUGGGAAUUUCUUCUGGGAUCACCCCAUUAUCUUGAAUAUUAUGUAUCCUCUUUCUUUCCCACCGAAACAAACUAAUGGUGAAAGCAGAUACGCUAUGGAAAAUGUAGGACUCUGCAUUGGAGAUUAAUGGAACUUCUUGAAUCACGGACGCCAUUAAAGAAUCAUGGAUGACAAUAACCUUUCUAGCCUUGCUAGAAAGCGAACGCAGAAGCAGAGACACAGGCUCUCGAAGAUGAGAUGAGGCAUUAUAGAAAGCUGGUAGCAAAUGAGAAGGGAACUUGUUUUUGGCAUUUGGGUUGGGAGGAGGGCAAGCAAAGGGAGGGAUUUCAAAGUCAUGGAAAUGGAUUCUAGAGGUGAUGCGUACAUCCCACACGUGAACGCGAAGCUUGGCCUGGCGGUUGUGGGUGGCGGUGCCGACGAAGUGGACCGGAAUGCUGUAGGAAAGGAUCAGCCUGGAGAGUUGGAGGAGCUGGUUGAGGUGGCCUUGUGCUGGGAGAGGCACCAUAACCACUACUACUUGUUAUUGUUGUAGGCCAUUUUGGUCGUUAAAUGCAUGGACUUGUUUGUUUGGAUUGUUAGCCAUAUGGUGAUAGCUUGGAGGAUUGGGUUUUAGUAAAGGUUAAGAAUGCGUUUUCUGUGUUGUUGGAUGCUGG
rnacentral:misc_RNA from 1 species